UACGUAGGGUGCGAGCGUUGUCCGGAAUUAUUGGGCGUAAAGAGCUCGUAGGCGAUGUGUCACGUCGGCCGUGAAAACCUGCAGCUUAACUGUGGGCGUGCGGUCGAUACGGGCAGACUAGAGUACUGCAGGGGAGACUGGAAUUCCUGGUGUAGCGGUGGAAUGCGCAGAUAUCAGGAGGAACACCGGUGGCGAAGGCGGGUCUCUGGGCAGUAACUGACGCUGAGAAGCGAAAGCGUGGGGAGCGAACAGG
rnacentral:rRNA from 1 species